rnacentral:rRNA from 1 species
GGACACGUGGUAUCCUGUCUGAAUAUGGGGGGACCAUCCUCCAAGGCUAAAUACUCCUGACUGACCGAUAGUGAACCAGUACCGUGAGGGAAAGGCGAAAAGAACCCCGGCGAGGGGAGUGAAAAAGAACCUGAAACCGUGUACGUACAAGCAGUGGGAGCACAGGUUUACCUGUGUGACUGCGUACCUUUUGUAUAAUGGGUCAGCGACUUAUAUUCUGUAGCAAGGUUAACCGUAUAGGGGAGCCGGAGGGAAACCGAGUCUUAACCGGGCGUUAAGUUGCAGGGUAUAGACCCGAAACCCGGUGAUCUAGCCAUGGGCAGGUUGAAGGUUGGGUAACACUAACUGGAGGACCGAACCGACUAAUGUUGAAAAAUUAGCGGAUGACCUGUGGCUGGGGGUGAAAGGCCAAUCAAACCGGGAGAUAGCUGGUUCUCCCCGAAAGCUAUUUAGGUAGCGCCUCGUGAAUUCAUCUCCGGGGGUAGAGCACUGUUUCGGCUAGGGGGCCAUCCCGGCUUACCAACCCGAUGCAAACUGCGAAUACCGGAGAAUGUUAUCACGGGAGACACACGGCGGGUGCUAACGUCCGUCGUGAAGAGGGAAACAACCCAGACCGCCAGCUAAGGUCCCAAAGUCAUGGUUAAGUGGGAAACGAUGUGGGAAGGCCCAGACAGCCAGGAUGUUGGCUUAGAAGCAGCCAUCAUUUAAAGAAAGCGUAAUAGCUCACUGGUCGAGUCGGCCUGCGCGGAAGAUGUAACGGGGCUAAACCAU